UAGGGAAUCUUCGGCAAUGGACGGAAGUCUGACCGAGCAACGCCGCGUGAUUGAAGAAGGUUUUCGGAUCGUAAAGCUCUGUUGUUAGAGAAGAACGUUGGUAGGAGUGGAAAAUCUACCAAGUGACGGUAACUAACCAGAAAGGGACGGCUAACUACGUGCCAGCAUCCGCGGUAAUACGUAGGUCCCGAGCGUUGUCCGGAUUUAUUGGGCGUAAAGCGAGCGCAGGCGGUUCUUUAAGUCUGAAGUUAAAGGCAGUGGCUUAACCAUUGUACGCUUUGGAAACUGGAGGACUUGAGUGCAGAAGGGGAGAGUGGAAUUCCAUGUGUAGCGGUGAAAUGCGUAGAUAUAUGGAGGAACACCGGUGGCGAAAGCGGCUCUCUGGUCUGUAACUGACGCUGAGGCUCGAAAGCGUGGGGAGCAAACAGG
rnacentral:rRNA from 1 species